UUCUCCUUCCCGGAACUCGGAAGUCCACCUUUCGUCGAAUCUGCCUCCCCCAAUCUUGCUUUUGUUUUUCUUUCCACUAGUUAUGUACAUGAGAGCCGUUGACAAACUCUUAAAUUAAAUGGAUUCAGCCAGGCUGUUCUUUUUAUUGAAUCAAGGGAAUUCAGUGAUUCAUGGAUUGAAUUACUUGUGAGUCCACCACAACAGUCAUCGUAUACAGAAACCCAUAAAACAUGUGUAAGAGUUAGCAUGAUUAUAAAGCGUUAGUGUUUAGAGUUUCCAACCCAUUGUUCUACCGUUCGCAUUUCCUAUCUGCAUUAGGAACCGUUCGCAUUUCCUAUCUGCAUUAGGAACCCUAAACCCCUUCUCCCGCGAAAACCAAAAACUCGCUCUCUCGCGAAGCUUCCCUUGCCGUUGACAUUUUUUAUUUGUCGCCGGCGUUUCACUCUCGUGAAGCUCCCCCCUCGCCCUCAGCAUUUUUUGAUUUGUUGUUGCCGGCGUUUCACUUCCACAAGCUCCUUUCACAUUUUUUAUUUGUCGCCGGCGUUUCACUCUCGUGAAGCUCCCCCCUCGCCCUCAGCAUUUUUUGAUUUGUUGUUGCCGGCGUUUCACUUCCACAAGCUCCCUUCACCAUCGCCCUCGACAUUCUUUUCCUUCAACCACUGUUCUUUCUAUUCACCUUCGCAUUCUUCUGGCUGUCGUGCUUCGUGAAAAGGAGCGGAGGAGUUCUCAAACGAUGUUUAAAAUAAUUUCGCAGUGAAGCUGUCCUGCUCCUCUGUACCGGACAAGCCUUUCGGCGUCUGCUUUGUGAUCGACUGAUUGUGUGUGCCGUUUGGGAAGAUCAAAAAGUGAAUCCUCCUGCUGGUUAUGUGUCAUAACCAAUCCACACUCUUGUUAAACUUUUAGCAAGACAUAUUGGCAAUUCAAUUGAGACUGUGUCAAAGGUGAUGCAGAGGCCAUUCUGUAUGGAUCCCCCAAAACCUAGAGUAUGGUGUCAUUGACAAGGCGAUCAGCUACACACUUCACCUCCUAAAGUAGAAGAUUUCUUGGGUAGUGCAUCCAUGGGAGGACAUCAGUAUGGAGGUGAAAACCAGGCCAUGGCUCUUAGGCUAGACAGCAUGUAUUACCAACAAAUGUUGGCAUCCAACACUAGCUAGCUUUUCAGCCGCUGCAGCAACAUGGCAGUUGCUUGAUGACAAACCACGAGUUUUUCCUCUCAUCAUUGGGUGAUGCCUUUUCCUUAUCAGAUGGCUUAGCUGCCACUUCACAGUUACCGUAGCAUCUUGGAGCAGGAACAAUAACAAGCUAGUCAACGCACCUGGCCUUAGGUUCAAUUUCAAUUGGCAUUAAAUUACUCUGUUAAAUAUUUGCUUGAGGACAGUAAGAUGGUCUGUUCGAGUGUAGGUCUUAACUAGGAUGACAUCAACGUAUGCAUCCAUGAAUUUAUACAUUUUUUCAUGAAAGAUUGUUGAUAUUGCUCGUUGAUAUGUAGCCCCGACAUUUUUUAGUUCAAAGGGUAUUGCUGUAUAGCAGAAGGUUUCCCAGGGGGUUGUGAAUGAAGUUUUUUUUUUAUCUUUGACUGUCAACUUGAUCUGGUUAUAUCAUAUAGGAUGGGGCCAUAUGUGAUCAGAGAAAUUUUUCUUGGGAAUUCUUACCUCCUAAUCGAUGUGGACAGGGUAGAAUUACUUGAUCCUGUCAAAGCACUUCAUCUCAAAAAUUUCUAUGCUUGAUGUACUCAUUUUCCU